UACUAGUAGCCCAGGAGACACAGAUAAGACAGGAUAAUGUGAUCAGAGGUAAACAGAACAUAUCAGGGUUAUCUGUAGUCCUGAUCAGUAUGUUUCCUGGAGGGUACCUGUUGUCUGAAGGAUUCAGCGUGGACAUUCCUGUGACGGCCUGAUAGUACAGGUGCGGCAACAAAGAACAAUGAACCAUGGGAAUUUGGAGGAUCUAACGACUUGUUUGGGGUCAACCCCUCCAAUGGUUGAUCAAAGGAAGCCGGCCAUAGCUGGAGGACAAAUUGCAGUCAUUGGACAUAACAUCAAGAGACCAGCAGAGCUGAAGCUCCACCAUGCAGUCCUGCUGUGCACUGCAGUCCCAGAGGGUACCUUGGUUACUUGUGCGCAAGAGAGGCAUCCCGUUUGGCAGCAUGAUAGACAAGCAAAUGCUAUCAGCGCAACCUAACAAUUGCCCAGAUGCUUAGACUCCAAGCUACUUCAGCGCCAGCCCAACCCACAAAUCAAACUUUGGCUAACUCCCAGCAUAUGACAACAAAUAUUCCCAUCUACAUGUGGAUAUCCCCCGCCAAUUAGAACAAUGUUCCGUAAUCCACCGCUGAUACUGCAGGGGUUAAUGGCUACCUAAGAGGCCAACA